rnacentral:rRNA from 1 species
CCUACGGGAGGCAGCAGUGGGGAAUAUUGGGCAAUGGGCGCAAGUCUGAACCAGCAACGCCGCGUGAAGGAUGAAGGCUUUCGGGUUGUAAACUUUCUUUGACAGGGAAGUGUAGAAUAUGGUGCCUGUCGAAUAAGCUAUGGCUAAAUACGUGCCAGCAGCCGCGGUCAUACGUAGGACGCAAGCGUUGUGCGGGUGUAGUGGGUGUAAAGGGCUUGUAGGGGGGUUGACAAGUCAGAUGUGAAAGUCUGCGGCUUAACCGCAGAACUGCAUUUGAAAGUGUUGAUCUUGAGUACAGUAGAGGUAGACGGAAUUCGUGGUGUAGCGGUGAAAUGCGUAGAUAUUACGAAGAACACCAGUGGCGAAGGCAGUCUGCUGGACAGCAACUGACGGUGAGGCGCGAAAGCGUGGGGAUCAAACAGGAUUAGAUACCCGAGUAGUC